rnacentral:rRNA from 1 species
UAGGGAAUAUUGGGCAAUGGGCGGAAGCCUGACCCAGCCACGCCGCGUGCAGGAAGACGGCCCUCUGGGUUGUAAACUGCUUUUAACUGGGAAGAAAAGAGGCCUUGCGAGGCAAGUUGACGGUACCAGUUGAAUAAGCCACGGCUAACUACGUGCCAGCAGCCGCGGUAAUACGUAGGUGGCGAGUGUUAUCCGGAUUUAUUGGGUUUAAAGGGAGCGUAGGCGGCUGAUUAAGUCAGCGGUGAAAGG